rnacentral:rRNA from 1 species
UUAUGGCUCAGGAUGAACGCUGGCGGCGUGCCUAACACAUGCAAGUCGAGCGGGAGUAUGUGGAGCAGAGAUUCGUCAAAGCAAGACAUACGAGAGCGGCGGACGGGUGAGUAACGCGUAGGUAACCUACCUUAAGCUGAGGGAUAACCCAGGGAAACCCGGGAUAAUACCACAUAAUGCGGGGGAGUCACAUGGUCCCCUCGCCAAAGAUUUAUCGGCAUAAGAUGGACCUGCGUCUGAUUAGCCAGUUGGUGGGGUAACGGCCUACCAAAGCAACGAUCAGUAGCCGACCUGAGAGGGUGAUCGGCCACAUUGGAACUGAGACACGGUCCAAACUCCUACGGGAGGCAGCAGUGGGGAAUAUUGCACAAUGGGCGCAAGCCCUGAUGCAGCAACGCCGCGUGAGCGAAGAAGGUCUUCGGAUCGUAAAGCUCUGUCCUAAGGGACGAAGAAGUGACGGUACCUUAGGAGGAAGCCCCGGCUAACUACGUGCCAGCCGCCGC